UACGGGGGGUGCGAGCGUUGUUCGGAAUCAUUGGGCGUAAAGCGCGCGCAGGCGGCUUGGUAAGUCAGAUGUGAAAUCCCUGGGCUUAACCCAGGAAGUGCAUUUGAUACUGCCUCGCUAGAGUACGGGAGAGGAAAGUGGAAUUCCUGGUGUAGCGGUGAAAUGCGUAGAUAUCAGGAGGAACACCGGUGGCGAAGGCGACUUUCUGGCCCGAUACUGACGCUCAGGCGCGAAAGCGUGGGGAGCAAACAGG
rnacentral:rRNA from 1 species